rnacentral:rRNA from 1 species
UGGGGAAUAUUGCACAAUGGGGGAAACCCUGAUGCAGCGACGCCGCGUGAGCGAAGAAGGCUUUCGAGUCGUAAAGCUCUGUCCUAUGAGAAGAUAAUGACGGUAUCAUAGGAGGAAGCCCUGGCUAAAUACGUGCCAGCAGCCGCGGUAAUACGUAUGGGGCGAGCGUUGUCCGGAAUUAUUGGGCGUAAAGCGCGCGCAGGUGGUUUAGAAAGUCUGAUGUGAAAGCCCACGGCUCAACCGUGGAGGGUCAUUGGAAACUAAUAAACGUGAGUGCAGGAGAGAAAAGUGGAAUUCCUAGUGUAGCGGUGAAAUGCGUAGAGAUUAGGAGGAACACCGGUGGCGAAAGCGGCUUUUUGGCCUGCAACUGACACUGAGGCGCGAAAGCGUGGGGAGCAAACAGG